ensembl:snRNA U1 U1 spliceosomal RNA
AUACUUACCUGGCAGGGGAGAUACCAUGAUCACAAAGGUGGUUUUCCCAGGGCGAGGCUUAAUUGCACUCUGGAUGGGCUGACCUCUGCGAUUUCCCCAAAUGUGAGAAACUUGACUGCAUAAUUUGUGGUAGUGGGGGACAGUGUUCAUGCUUUCCCCUA